CUGGUGGCGAGUGGCGAACGGGUGAGUAACGCGUGGGGAUCUGCCCUGGAGUGGGGAACAACAGUUGGAAACGACUGCUAAUACCGCAUACGCCCUGAGGGGGAAAGGCUUCGGCCGCUCUUGGAUGAUCCCGCGUCUGAUUAGCUUGUUGGUGGGGUAACGGCCUACCAAGGCGACGAUCAGUAGCUGGUCUGAGAGGAUGAUCAGCCACACUGGGACUGAGACACGGCCCAGACUCC
rnacentral:rRNA from 1 species